UUAUUAUUUAAAAAAUAUAUAAAAAAGUAGCAAAGUAAAUUAUUAUAAGUGUAAAUGAAAGGCAAAUUGGAGUGUAAAGAAUUCUAGGUCCAUACCAGAUUGUACGGCAGCAUUUGUAAUGGAAACAAGUACAAGUAUAUGUAGUACAUUUACACUUGAAAGGGUUAUUCACACCUGGCGAUGUAAACCGAAGUGCCAAAGUAAAUCCAUUCUGUAUGAAUGACAAGCGGGAGUGAAAAAGGAUUUAAAAACAAAAUAGCUGUAGGCAACCAAGGCUCCUAAAUGCUCGUUCAGAUAAAAGGCGAUGAACCACAGCGUUUAAAAGAACGUAAGUGAAUGGCAACUGCAAUGGUCCUACGCAUAUUGACUGAACUCUGUGUUAUAAGAAAAUACAAAAUAUGAAGCUCAUUACAUUUACGUCAUUGUUUAAAAGAAAUGUGCAGUUUAACGAGUCAUAUCUGAGCAAGGCUUUGGCUUACUCACUAAUGUGUGUUAAAGAAUACAGAAAUGUGAAGUGCAGAAUGAUUAUGGCAUUUUAUUUUGCUGCAGCUGCGUUUCCUUGGCAGUUUAUUGGCCAUGUGUGAAUGGGCUUGAUUAUAGCACCAGACUACAGCACAUUGCAAUAUAAGUAUUUAAAUUUUUUAGAAUUUCAAUUGGAUGUGUAAAUACAGUCUGUAAUUUAGAGAGAGAUUGAUUGCACAGAAAUGUGUAGUUCUGGUAGAGUUCUAUAUAGGGUAGUGCACACUGCAUAAUUUGUGUAUGCAAUUUCUUGCAAUGCUCUGGGCAUUCUGUUAAUGUGUGUGUAUGGAAUAUGUGCUAUUGAAAUUUAAUUUUGAUUAUGAGCGCGAUCACAGAAACUUACAAGAAAUCAACACGGUGGCUAUUUCUACAUUCUAUUAUUGAAUAGUUAAUGUAAUGAUUAUGUAAUUGACUAAUAGGUGAUUAACAAGGUCAUGAGUACCUCAUAUUCGCUCGUCAUCCAGGUUGCUGGUGCUAAACAACAGAGCCUGCACACGAGGUUCACCUUGAAGUCAUUCAAGCAAUAGACUGCAACAGGAAAAAUUCAGUGAUUGGGGCUGGUGUGAUCACCACACCGUUGUUUAGCACAAAUUGUUUGGCACCAGUAACCUUGACAACUUUGCCAGUAUGACGUCACACUUCGGUACUCUACUGAACCGCCCUUGUGUUGAUUUUUGAAAGUCGUGUGAUCGUGUUUAUAUCCUUGUGUUAAUAAAGUAUGUGCUUUUUUCAGUUCCUAAAGUGUGUGAGUGAAAAAGAGAGUUUUAUUAUUAAAUACGUUUUACUAAUUUGAUUGCGGUUUCAUUCAUAACGUCUUCCUAAUUUGAACUUCUUUAAAUACGCAAGGGGCCUUUGCAAUAGGAGGUGCAGAAGAUAAGAAAACAGAUAGAUCUCCCAUGAAUCCCUUGUGUUUCUAUGUAUAAAUCACUCUUACUAAAAGAGACAUGAACAAAACAAUCUUUCCUGUUAUUUUAGCCAAAUGUACGUAUAAGUGCUCUGUUCAAAAUUGCUUGUAGACUACAUUAAUGUACCUGUUCUGUUGUGUGUUGCUAAAACAAAGCUGAUUCUAAAAAUAUAUCAACACUCAAUUCCUGUAGGAAGAAUUAUCUUAAGCAGAGUAAGCGAUAUAAAGGUGGUUUUGGAAUUAAUAUUUUUUUCAAAACAUUGAUUGUAAGCCUGGAACAUUUAGUGCAUGUAACAAAAUUUGUUGUAUUGUUAUCAAACAGUUUAUGGAACACUAUAUAAGGGAGAAGUUUUCUGCUUAGGAAAAUGUUUAUUCUUAUCACGAUAAUCCUUAAUCCCAUUUACUUGUAAUGAUGUAAUGUACAUGUAGGACUGUGCCUGGUUAUACAUGUAUAUUUAGUCCAUAAAUAGUAAAGAUGAUAUUCUUAUUGGUUUAACUUGUAUGAAUGGAAUAUCAUCAUGCUUAUUCCUUCUAAAUAUGGAACCCUAACAACAAUUUGACUGAGCAUUAAUCUCUUCUAGUACUUUUAGUGAUCCUUCUAUCGUACGUAUCCUUCUCUUACGACACAAAUGUGUCACCACUACUAAAGCUCAUAAAGUGUGCCUCCUCUAACAUAUGUUUACACUGCCAGGUGGUUUCUAUUCUGCACAUACUAUCGGUAUGACUGAAUGAUUUAGUAGUUGACUGUAUGUAUCACUCUAAAAAGAUAUAAUACCAAAGAGUGUAGAAUUUGUCUGUUUGUCUGUAGUCCUUUCGUAAUAGUUACGUUUUUUCUCUUCUAUGGUACUGUACCUUGAGUUGCCUGCUGUUUGCUCUGAAAGCAUCGAGGGUUUUAUGUGCUUGUACCUUUUCAAUUUCGGGGCCAAAUUUUAUAAUUCAAAUGCUAAUGCCUUAACUGUAAAUUUGUUGCAUUGCUCAUUAACCUGACAUCAUGUAUGGUAGUAAAUAUAGUGUCUAUGCCAAGCAGCAUUUUGAAAUAAUCGUGUUCAUGUACAUGUAACCAAGUUCAGAAAUGAAAAUUAAAAAAUGGUUGUACGACACAUACGAUGCCCCGUGUGUGGCGCAGCAGUCACUUUCCCACACUGUCCGAUUUCUUUAAUUCAACCAUGGACCAAAUGCUGACCCUAAAUGUAACCUUUGACCGAUUUUGCAACCCAAACCCUACAAUAUUUGAGAAACUAAAGAGGAAAGAAUGCAUCCGUGGUUUAUGCUUUAAAGCACUAUUUAUUUUACAUAUUCUUUAUUUGGAGUCACUAAAAAGGUGUUGACUUCAAAUCUUUUAAUAACAGAGAGCCAAUGCCUUUAUAGCUCUGAACGGGCAGAAUACCUAUAAAUUGGUCUGUAUGAACACGUAUGUAGUUUAUACGCACUCUCCUUUAAUGUUGGAUGUAAUCUCUAUACAUGUGUAGCUAUUUAUGGUAUCCUGUAAACACAAAUUAUUUGGAUAAAUUUUUCAUUAACAGUUGAUCUAUUUUAAUGUUUCAAUUUAUACAAAUGGAUGAAUCUACUAAGAUGUGGACAAAAAUUAUUUUCCUGUAAUGGAGAUAAAUAAACUGAUGUGGAAUCUA